GCCUACGGCCAUACCACCCUGAGAACGCCCGAUCUCGUCUGAUCUCGGAAACUAAGCAGGGUCGGGCCUGAUUAGUACUCGGAUGGGAGACCGCCUGGGAAUACCAGGUGCUGUAAACU
rnacentral:rRNA from 1 species